rnacentral:lncRNA from 1 species
AGAAGCUGCAUUUACAGGAACAUGUUUGGUGACAAGAAGAUAGUAUUUCUCUUCCCAUUCCCAUCUCCAUGAGUACCUGAACAGAGGGUUUGCAGUUUUCUCUGGAAGACCAUCUGAGUGAAGGAAGAGAGAGAGGCUAUAUGAGGGACAACUGCUGUAAAAGCACGGGGAAGAGUGCCAUUUCUUACAAAGUUACAGACUGAAAUGUCGAGGCAACCGUGAUGUUCGUUGCUUUGGGGAGCCUGCGGCUUGGCCAUAUACUGAGGUGACACCCAUAUGAUGAACGAAUAGCUUUAAUCAGCAAUUGGCUGAAGAAAACUCCAUGGGACUUAGCGGUAGCAAGGCUCAUUAAAUUACAUGAGGAGCAUUCUGCACAUUCAACUGAUGGUGAAAGCAUAAGGACCAAGAAGAUCUUAGAGCGAAUUUGAGGAACAGAGAAGGCAAAGAACAGUUUGGAAUGACCUGAGAGACAGUGCCUGUGUAUUUCUUUCAAGCCUAUCAUGCUUGCUGUCAUCUUCAGAACUACAGUUUUUAAAAAAAUAAAGUUGCCUAUGUGGUUUUAUUUACUAUAUCAACCAUGGAAGAAGGGAACUAAAUUCAGUGACUGAUGGGUCUGACAGCCAAAAUGUUCAUAUAGUCUCUGAUGGGUGCAUUUACUUCUUCGUGUGUUUAAGAGUCCUUGAAUUCCAAACAUUUAAAUAGAUUAUUGCAAAUAUAUUUUUCAUUUCUUGGUCAAGUCCAGAGUAAUAG